rnacentral:miRNA from 1 species
CGGCAAGCUAGAGACAGCAAC